rnacentral:rRNA from 1 species
GAGUAGUAGAGUUAUGGUCUUGAAACUCAAAGAAUUUGGCGGUGUUUUAGUCCAUUCAGAGGAAUCUGUCCCGUAAUUGAUGAUACACGAGUUAUUUUACUUUCUUUUGUAACAACUUGUAUACCUCCGUCAUAAGAAUAUUUUGUGGAGAAUUGAAAAUUUCUUGAUAUUUUAUUUUUUUAAUAUGUCAGGUCAAGGUGCAGUUUAUGAGGAAGUGGAGAUGGAUUACAAUAAAAUUAUUUAUAUGGAUUUUAAUAGGAAUAAAUUAAAUGAAGGUGGAUUUGAAUGUAAAUUGAUAUAAACUUUUCUUUUGAUUUUGGCUCUAAAGCGUGCACAUAUCGCCCGUCGCUCUCGUUUUUAUAUAAAUGAG